rnacentral:tRNA from 1 species
GCGGAUGUAGCCCAAUUGGCAGCGGCAACCGUCUCAGGAACGGCUCAGUGCACGUUCGAAUCGUGCCAUCCGCA